rnacentral:rRNA from 1 species
UGGGGAAUUUUGGACAAUGGGGGAAACCCUGAUCCAGCCAUCCCGCGUGUGCGAUGAAGGCCUUCGGGUUGUAAAGCACUUUUGGCAGGAAAGAAACGUCGUGGGUUAAUACCCCGCGAAACUGACGGUACCUGCAGAAUAAGCACCGGCUAACUACGUGCCAGCAGCCGCGGUAAUACGUAGGGUGCAAGCGUUAAUCGGAAUUACUGGGCGUAAAGCGUGCGCAGGCGGUUCGGAAAGAAAGAUGUGAAAUCCCAGAGCUUAACUUUGGAACUGCAUUUUUAACUACCGGGCUAGAGUGUGUCAGAGGGAGGUGGAAUUCCGCGUGUAGCAGUGAAAUGCGUAGAUAUGCGGAGGAACACCGAUGGCGAAGGCAGCCUCCUGGGAUAACACUGACGCUCAUGCACGAAAGCGUGGGGAGCAAACAGGAUUAGAUACCCUGGUAGUCCACGCCCUAAACGAUGUCAACUAGCUGUUGGGGUCUUCGGACCUUGGUAGCGUAGCUAACGCGUGAAGUUGACCGCCUGGGGAGUACGGUCGCAAGAUUAAAACUCAAAUGAAUUGAC